GCACUGGUGUAGCUCAGUGGUUACUUCGACCAUCAAUUCUCUCUCAGAAUUCGAACCGUCUCUAUCCCUCCGUGGGAUCGAACCACGGGCACUGUCCAGUGCUUUU
rnacentral:vault_RNA from 1 species